rnacentral:rRNA from 1 species
UUAAAGGAAUUGACGGGGCCCCGCACAAGCAGCGGAGCAUGCGGCUUAAUUCGACGCAACGCGAAGAACCUUACCAAGGCUUGACAUAUAGCGAAAAGCGGCAGAGAUGUUGUGUCCGCAAGGGCGGUAUACAGGUGGUGCAUGGUUGUCGUCAGCUCGUGUCGUGAGAUGUUGGGUUAAGUCCCGCAACGAGCGCAACCCUCGUUCUGUGUUGCCAGCAUUUAGUUGGGGACUCACAGGANACUGCCGUGGUUAACACGGAGGAAGGUGGGGAUGACGUCAAAUCAUCAUGCCCCUUAUGUCUUGGGCUGCACGCAUGCUACAAUGGCNGNUACAAAGGGCUGCAAUACCGUAAGGUGGAGCGAAUCCCANAAAGUCGGUCUCAGUUCGGAUUGAGGUCUGCAACUCGACCUCAUGAAGUCGCGAGUUGCCUAGUAAUCGKAGANCAGCANCGSGCGG